UUCUAGUCUGACACUCCGCGAGUUACCGUUCCACUCGGUUCUCCCGAUUCCUCAGAUUGAAUGAGUCUUCGUUCGUGGCGUAUAUAAAGAGGGGAACAGAUCGAAAUCCCCCUUCUGCGCGCGGAAGCUGAACCCUUGCGUACCCAAGGAAAAACCGGCGGUGCCCGAUGGCAAAAGGAAGAAGAACAGGCACGACCGGCAUGGUCGAAAGAAGGAUACAGAAAAGGUACCAUGAAGAAGAAAAAGGGGAAGGAGAAAGGACCCUGACCUCCAUUCAAGAUAAUAUGGAAAUAGCAAACUACAAAAACUUAUGAAAAAAAGGCAGUAAAAGAAAAAUAUUUUAAAGAAAAGCUUUCGUCAUAUAUGAAGUAGUGGCAUAAUGGAUUUUAAAAGCGAGGACGCUGCGUACGCGAGAUCCGAGUAACAUUCAAAAUUAGAAAGUUAUCGAAAACGGGAACGUUUGUGCAUUUGGUUCAGUGCACAAGAAUCUUCGCGUCGCGGCGAGUGAAAUAAAACGAUCCUUUUAAAAGAAAUGCCUGUGAUUCAAUAUUUACAAAUAUCACGUAAAUUAAGUAAUUUCUGAAAAAAAAUUAUACGAGACUACUGCAUUUAAUAGGUGCACCUAAAAAUAUAACCAACAUGCUUUAGACCAGUUUCUAUUUCAUUGGUAUCACAAUAGCUCAAGUCAGGAAAAAUUUGUGAAACCCAUCAGGUAAUAAGACGCGCGGCUGUAACGGCUCUAGUAGGACCUGAAGACGUUAACAAUCAUUGUAUAGCGGGUACAUCAUAAAUCAACAGAAAUAAGCGUCAGGUAGAAAUAAAUGGAACAGUUGAAUUCUACAGAAAUUCGCUUCAAGGCCAAAACGCCAACAUAAAUGUGCGUACCGUAAGCGAAGAAGGAAGUUUAUUCGUGACUUAAAAUUUUGCCGUUAAUCAUGUCAUCUAACUCUAGCAUUCGAAUAUUACCUCAAUGGUGCAAAAAUAAAUUGAAGGAACGAUCACAUCAGAAUGGCAAGAAGGUCCGUGUAUCCUUUGGUAUUUGAGUCUCGAGAGUGAUCGUCGAAAAUUGAAAGAAGACGGCUGUAAUCACCUGCGCGCGUUUCCAGGCCUUCUGCUAAAGAGAAAUCGUCGAGCCGACGUCGAGGUUUAUUAAUAAACGUCGUGGUACACGUGCCCGUCGCCGUGUACCCCUUUGUCGUGACGAGACCGCUGCAAUAGGGGUGAAACAAGAGCAACCGAGAGAAUAAGCAGAUCGUUUUACGAACGCACGAGAUAGUGACGCCGAAACAUUUGGCUAUCGGUUCAGCAAAAUUUCCAGAAUCGAAUUACAAAAUAGUGAAACAUUUCACAUUGUUUCGAUUCCGUAGAGACUCUAUUAACAUGUAAAUAUUAUAACCUCCUGUUGCCGACACUGUUUCGAACGUAAUGAUAAUAAAUUCGUCCGAACUGCUCGUUUUCGACGAAGAACUUUUUUACUCGAUUAUAAUGAACUGCAAUGAACUGGAAUAAUGUACGUUUCCCGAAGACAGCAUGAAUUUUUCGUUGUGUAAUGUAAUGCGUUCUUAAUGACUCCUCGCCUCUCCCGCCGCCCUUUUUAACGAUAUCUCGCUAAAGCGUUUGAACAUCGACCACGCACGGGCGCAAUUGAGCAAUCAAGCUGCAUCAAAAUAUUUGUAUAGAAUUAAUGGAGAUGUUUUGAUACGCACCUAUCAAGUUCCUCAGCACACUGUUACCCGACGCACUUGCAAUAUCGUGGUUAAUCCGAACGAGAAACACCAGGAAGGAAUUCACAUAAGUAACCCCCUCGGCGGCGAGAUAAUAUUUGAUCGUCGGUAAAAUUGACGUCGUGGAUUAAUAAUGCACACGGGGACAACAGCUGCUCGCGUUACAAAUGAAUUUUUUACUUACUAACACGGACAAAUUAAAAACGGUUUCCUAAAUUUGUUACGUAUAAAUCGUGUCUGUGUGUGUAUGUAUGUAUGUUAUGUAUGUAUAGAUAUAAUUAAACGCGAUGCACUGUUGACGACACGUACGUGGUAACUGAUGUCUUUUUACAAUUGGCGAUUUUCCCUGCGCGCACACAUCCGACACGAACGAAGGCCCACGUGCGAGUACCGAACUACCUUUGAGUUACCGUGCCGCACACCAGUUUGCCGGGUUUCUAUAUGAUUUCUCUUCUCAUUGGUCCAUGCUGUCCCCCACCAUAACGUUGUGCCAGUAGUGUAGCGUAACAACGGCAGAACGAGCCACGGGUGACGCGAGCGGUUGAAGAAUCGGCUCACGAUGUGUUGACAAAUCUUCCAACGUUUCACCCCGUAGAAAAAUUUUGGAAUAGUGUUAACUAUCGAUGAAAAGCUUGUGAAUUUAAAAAAAGAUUAAAUUUCUUUUAACUUUAAAUCAUGAUACUGUAUUUAUAUUUCUUUAAAAAGUCCUGUGAAUACUCGAUCUAUCGUGACAGUCUUCUUUGUAUCGUAAAAAAUAUUGAAUAAACAAUACAAUUUCGUCAUUUUAAUUGGUAUAAACUAUUUUCACGUAUUAAAAAGUACUAUCAUCAUUGUCAAAGCGAUAUUCAUUUUAUUUUACUUCGCAAACAGAACAAUGAACUCGGUCCGUUAGCUUUCAAAUAUAUGAAGCCAUUUUGCUUGGUUUCCUUUGAAUAUACUUGUUUCGGUUUUGUUAUAAUUCUGACGACUCCACGACAAAAAUACGACGGUAGUUAACGUGCCGAGGAGAGAUGAGGUGACGGUGCCAGAAAUUUGGAAGCCUUCGAAAGUACUGGUCCGAAACGAUUCUACAGGAUCCAUGAGGCAAGGCGGCGAUCCGUCGAGGAGUAUCAGCUGUUCGAAUUAUUAUCGUUGCACACGACGGCAGAUGUUCACUGGCUUGAAACACUCCCCCGAAGGUUUUGAACCCGCUGAUCUCUUUUCUUUGGAGCGGGUGAAAACUUUCAAGGAAGCCCAACAUCCCGUUCAAUCUCGCACAAUACCAGUACCGGCUAUACUCUUUCCACAAAUACGAGGAACAAAUUAAACAAAGAACCUCAUGAAACGUUUAUUC